AGGCUUCCGCUGUAUUUCCAGAAGUCAUGUCUCAAGCGGUUUAUUUAUGGACAGAUCUUUUUUUUCAACCAAAGGGACAAUGAUAGAAACACACAGCGGGCUCUUCCAUAUUUGUGUGGUGAACCCCUCCCGCCCCACUUUCUGACGAAUCAGCUGAAUCAAAGUCUUCGAGAGGAAGAAGAGCAGCAGCAGCAAGAAUCAGCUGCGGUCUGGUUGGAAAAGAAAGAAGCAAAAAGAAGGUGGAUGCCACACUACGUAGAAUAUACUAAAGCAAACUAAGAAAUGGGGUGAGAACCCUGUGGCUUGGAAGAGACGCCCUAAUAUCAAUUUAAUCUCAGUAACUGAAUCUGUAUUAAGGCUUGAAAAGCAGACUUUAUUUCAAAGGCACAUUUAAUAGUGUUAGAUUGUACAGCUUUCUUUGCCAUUUGUGUGAAUAUUUAUGAAGUGCCUUAGACUAGUUGUACUAAAAUGUCAAUAUUUUUAGCAUUAACCAAGACCAGUUGCAGCAAAACAAUGAAUACACCAGAGAACAGACUUUUUAACACAAUCCUAAAGUAUGGAGCCCCCUCAUAGUAUCCAGCCAACUACAGUGUGCCCUUGUGAACUGGGCACUGAUUUUAAGGCUAUAACUUAUCAUCAACCUCUUAGAAUAAACUCCAGAGGUUCCAUGAUUUUAUGCCAUUGGAAAGUCAGACUAAAAGUUCUGUGCAAGUUUCACAUUAAAAACAACAAAACAGUCUCAUAUGAUAAUUUGAUAUGACUUGGGUUUUUAUUUUCUCUUGUAUAUGCAGUUCCAUUUGCACAAGCAUACUAAACCCCAGUAUCCAUAGAUGAAAGCAUUACCAUGGUAUGAAAGCAAAAAGGAGGUGCAUGAAGGGAGGUUGUGGAAGACUUGCAUAAAAUGUUCAGAAUUCUUAAAACAUUUCAUGUGUUGAAAAUCAAAGGGAUGCCAGGUUUGAUUUUUCAAAGUCAUGUUCUGUUUUGUUUUGUGUUGUUUUGUUUUGUUUUUCCUGAGGCUUCCUAACUUGGCACUGAGAAAAAGGGUUACUUUGGGAUUAUCCAUUUUUCAUUUAAAAA